GACGGGGGGUCCUAGCGUUGUUCGGAAUCAUUGGGCGUAAAGCGUGUGCAGGUGGUUUGGAAAGUUGGAUGUGAAAGCCUUGGGCUCAACUCAAGAAGUGCAUUCAAAACUACCAAACUUGAGUAUGGAAGAGGGUCGUGGAAUUCCGCAUGUAGUGGUGAAAUACGUAGAUAUGCGGAGGAACACCGGUGGCGAAGGCGGCGACCUGGUCCUAUACUGACACUCAUACACGAAAGCGUGGGUAGCAAACAGG
rnacentral:rRNA from 1 species